AUUGAACGCUGGCGGCAGGCCUAACACAUGCAAGUCGAGCGGAGCGGCGGACGUGUGAGUAAUGCCUAGGAAUCUGCCUGGUAGUGGGGGAUAACGUCCGGAAACGGGCGCUAAUACCGCAUCCUCUCAGAUGAGCCUCGUUCGGAUUAGCUAGUUGGUGGGGUAAAGGCCUACCAAGGCGACGAUCCGUAACUGGUCUGAGAGGAUGCUCAGUCACAAUGGAAUUGAGACACGGUCCAGACUCCGACGGGAGGCAGCUGUGGGGAAUAUUGGACAAUGGGCGGAGGCCUGAGCCAGCCAUGCCGCGGGUGUGAAGAAGGUCUUGGGAUGGUAAAGCACUUUAAGUGGGGAGGGGUUACCAACAGAAUAAGCACCGGCUAACUGCGUGCCAGCAGCCGCGGUAAUAC
rnacentral:rRNA from 1 species